UGUUGCCCAUGGUAUCUGAUGUCCAGUAUGUAUUUGUAGCUGGAGAUCUCGUUUUGAUGGGCAGAUACAAAUUCAUGAACAGGUCUUGCGACACAGUUAGCUAUUCUGUUCACAAGCUUGCUGUUACUAAAUCCCUGCUCACAUUU